GUGCGCAGGCGCGCCGACCGCCGAGUUUUCUGCGCUUCCUUCUCCCUCUCUCCAGCCGUCGUGGUCGUUCGGUCCUAUGUCGCGCCGGGCCCUCCGGAGGCUGAGGGGGGAACAGCGUGGCCAGGAGCCCCUCGGGCCCGGCGCCCUGCAGUUCGAUCUCCGUGAUGACGAUGACGCGGAAGAAGAAGAGCCCAAGCGGGAGCUUGGUGUCUGGCGCCCCGGGGGCGCACGGAAGGAGGGCGUCCGAGUCAACAACCGCUUCGAGUUGAUAAACAUUGACGAUCUUGAGGAUGACCCUGUGGUGAAUGGGGAGAGGUCUGGCUGUGCGCUCACAGAUGCUGCGGCACCAGGGAACAAAGGAAGGGCUCAGCGUGGAAACACAGAGAGCAAGACGGAUGGAGAUGUCGCCGAGACAGCACCCCCAGAGCAGGUGGGGGGCUGAGUGGUGAGGAGGUGGCAUCAGACGGGAGAGUUCCAAGGCACCCAGCCACAUGUAUCCUGUGCUGUGAUUUUCCUUGGAGGUGUAAUUUUCUGAGUUCAAUUUUGGUUAACUGCUAGUUGCCCCCAAAUUUACUUGGGAACCUUGAUGAGAUUUGCUUGAAAUGAGUAAAGGUCGCAGGCUUGUCUCCUGCAUUUCAGGAGAGUGUGCGCCUGCCCAGCAGUGUGUGUAACCACACACGUGUGUUCUUCCUAACUAACCACACACUUGUGUUCUUCCUAACUGUGCUCCGAACGUUCGCUUGGCUGGGUUGUGGGUCUGGGUGCUGGUGUAAGUGAACUUUGAAGAAACAUGCAGGUCAGGUUAACGUGGGAUGGGCAGAGAUGCAGACAGCCUGCUUCUGUGCUGCACAGCACAGAAGAGGGGCCCUAAAAGGAGAGCUUGUGUUCAUUUAUCCAACAACUGUUCUUGGGAGCUUGCUGGGUGCU
rnacentral:sRNA from 1 species